GUUCCCUCCGAGACGGAUCCCGAGUAGUGCGGGGCACGUGAAACCCCGUAUGAAUCCGGCAGGACCAUCUGCCAAGGCUAAAUACUUCCUAGCGACCGAUAGUGAAGCAGUACCGUGAGGGAAAGGUGAAAAGCACCCCGGAAGGGGAGUGAAAUAGAACCUGAAACCGUGUGCUUACAAAAAGUCAGAGCCCGUUUUAGGGGUGAUGGCGUGCCUUUUGUAGAAUGAACCGGCGAGUUACGUUCCCGUGCAAGGUUAAGGUGAAGAGCCGGAGCCGCAGCGAAAGCGAGUCUGAAUAGGGCGAUAUAGUACGUGGACGUAGACCCGAAACCGGGUGAUCUACCCCUGUCCAGGGUGAAGGUGCGGUAACACGCACUGGAGGCCCGAACCCACGCAUGUUGAAAAAUGCGGGGAUGAGGUGGGGGUAGCGGAGAAAUUCCAAUCGAACUCGGAGAUAGCUGGUUCUCCCCGAAAUAGCUUUAGGGCUAGCCUCGGAAAACAGAGUCGUGGAGGUAGAGCACUGAUUGGGUGCGGGGCCCGCAAGGGUUACCAAGCUCAGUCAAACUCCGAAUGCCAUAGACUUACUUCCGGGAGUCAGACAGUGAGUGCUAAGAUCCAUUGUCAAAAGGGAAACAGCCCAGACCAUCAGCUAAGGUCCCCAAGUGUGUGUUAAGUGGGAAAGGAUGUGGAGUUGCACAGACAACCAGGAUGUUGGCUUAGAAGCAGCCACCAUUGAAAGAGUGCGUAAUAGCUCACUGGUCGAGUGACUCUGCGCCGAAAAUGUAACGGGGCUAAACACACCACCGAAGCUAUGGCUUGAUGCUUUGCAUCAGGGGUAGGGGAGCGUUGUAUAAGGGUUGAAGGUGUACCGUAAGGAGCGCUGGACAUUAUACAAGUGAGAAUGCCGGUAUGAGUAACGAAAAGAUCAGUGAGAAUCUGAUCCGCCGAAAGCCUAAGGGUUCCUGAGGAAGGCUCGUCCGCUCAGGGUAAGUCGGGACCUAAGGCGAGGCCGAAAGGCGUAGUCGAAGGACAACAGGUCGAAAUUCCUGUACCACCGUAAGCCGUUAUGAGCAAUGGGGGGACGCAGUAGGGUAGUGACGCGGACUGAUGGAUGUCCGUCUAAGCAGU
rnacentral:rRNA from 1 species